ACGAACGCUGGCGGCGUGCUUAACACAUGCAAGUCGAACGAAGCUUGAUUACGGAUUCUUCGGAUGAAGUAUGAUAUGACUGAGUGGCGGACGGGUGAGUAACGCGUGAGUAACCUGCCCUUCAGAGGGGGAUAGCGUUUGGAAACGAACGGUAAUACCGCAUAAUGUAUUUUGACCGCAUGAUCGAAAUACCAAAGAUUUAUCGCUGAAGGAUGGACUCGCGUCUGAUUAGGUAGUUGGUGGGGUAACGGCCUACCAAGCCGACGAUCAGUAGCCGGACUGAGAGGUUGAUCGGCCACAUUGGGACUGAGACACGGCCCAGACUCCUACGGGAGGCAGCAGUGGGGAAUAUUGCACAAUGGGCGCAAGCCUGAUGCAGCAACGCCGCGUGAAGGAAGACGGUUUUCGGAUUGUAAACUUCUGUUCUUAGUGAAGAAUAAUGACGGUAGCUAAGGAGCAAGCCACGGCUAACUACGUGCCAGCAGCCGCGGUAAUACGUAGGUGGCAAGCGUUGUCCGGAAUUACUGGGUGUAAAGGGAGCGCAGGCGGGUGAUCAAGUCAGCUGUGAAAACUACGGGCUUAACCCGUAGACUGCAGUUGAAACUGUUCAUCUUGAGUGAAGUAGAGGUUGGCGGAAUUCCGAGUGUAGCGGUGAAAUGCGUAGAUAUUCGGAGGAACACCGGUGGCGAAGGCGGCCAACUGGGCUUUAACUGACGCUGAGGCUCGAAAGUGUGGGGAGCAAACAGGAUUAGAUACCCUGGUAGUCCAUGCCGUAAACGAUGAUUACUAGGUGUUGGAGGAUUGACCCCUUCAGUGCCGCAGUUAACACAAUAAGUAAUCCGCCUGGGGAGUACGACCGCAAGGUUGAAACUCAAAGGAAUUGACGGGGGCCCGCACAAGCGGUGGAGUAUGUGGUUUAAUUCGAAGCAACGCGAAGAACCUUACCAGGCCUUGACAUCCCUUGCAGAGGUAUAGAGAUAUAUCCGAGGUUAUCAAGGAGACAGGUGGUGCAUGGUUGUCGUCAGCUCGUGUCGUGAGAUGUUGGGUUAAGUCCCGCAACGAGCGCAACCCUUGCUAUUAGUUGCUACGCAAGAGCACUCUAAUGGGACCGCUACCGACAAGGUGGAGGAAGGUGGGGACGACGUCAAAUCAUCAUGCCCCUUAUGUGCUGGGCUACACACGUAAUACAAUGGCCAUCAACAGAGAGAAGCAAUACCGCGAGGUGGAGCAAAACUUCAAAAAUGGUCUCAGUUCGGACUGCAGGCUGCAACCCGCCUGCACGAAGUUGGAAUUGCUAGUAAUCGUGGAUCAGCAUGCCACGGUGAAUACGUUCCCGGGUCUUGUACACACCGCCCGUCACACCAUGGGAGCCGGUAACACCCGAAGUCAGUAGUCUAACCGCAAGGAGGACGCUGCCGAAGGUGGGAUUGGCGACUGGGGUG
rnacentral:rRNA from 1 species